rnacentral:misc_RNA from 1 species
AGUUGUUGGGGUGUAUGUAGGCAUACGGUCCUGGUGAUGCAGUACGUGAUAGCAUGUGAGUGGUAGUUGGUUUGUGUCGUUGGCGGGCUCUCUGUUUGUGCAUUGAACCGUUCACUAGCAUACCUCUUCAUUGUUUGCUCCAAGUGCAUCAUGUGCCUUGGGCAAUGUGUGGUCCCUAUGUUGAAUUCCUAUUGACGGUAUUGAUGUUAUCCCUUUAAAGAGUAAUUUUCGCUCCACAUCUGUAARAGGAGGUCGAGCGGACAACGAAACUUGGUUCGUCAUCCACCUGUCAAGCGAAAACAAGCACGGCAGGAUAGGAUUACGGGCUUAAGUUGGGCCCUUGGAUGCAGAAUGUUUUGUGGGAGUCGAUGUAAAAUCGUUGCAUUCCCAAAAUCUUGUAUGCUAACAAUGGAUGACAUUCGAGUGCGUCGUGACCCUUUCUUGAUUGAAAGGGCUCAUGCGUGCUGAUGUUGACCGAGGGGUGCUACCUGGUUGAUCCUG